rnacentral:pre_miRNA from 1 species
AUUCUACUCCCUCCGUUGCACAAUACAUGCCUUCUAUUUGUCAAAAUAUAUAUGUAUCUAGACAUGUCUUAGUAUAUAGGUACAUCCAUUUUUGGACAAAUGGAAGUCAAGUAUUUUGGAACGGAGGGAGUACNAU